GGGCAAUUUAAAAGAAAGAAAGAAAUGCGAAUAUAGGCCAAUUCGAAUGCCGCGCGAAAGGGGAAGGACCUAGAACACAAAUUUCCCAUUCAUGGGAAACAAGCGGAUCCUCCCCGGGUCGGGUCAUACGCGUGCGGGUUGUGCCAAAUGGGUCCAUACGGCGUCGUUUCAAAGGCUAUUGAACUUAGCCUGAAACGACACCACUCCAUGCUGUCAAUUAAAAGGGAAAUCAGCCCAAAAACUAGAAUGCUUUAACAAAGCAAAUAGGGGAAACCGAAACCCUAGAUGUUUGCCCCCAUUUAACCGCCGUUCGACCCUUAAUCCACCACGAAAAUCGAUGGAUAAAUGUAAGGGCCUUUCCUACCUCUACUCAAGCCAUGAUUUAAGGCCGAUCUCAACCCCGAGAUCCCAUCUCAGCUUAGACUUCGACGAAGGAGAAGGACCCCGAUGGCGUUUUCGCAAAGGUACGGGGUGACGUGGUAGCACGAGGGUGGUGUACGAAGGCGUACAGAGGUGGUACGGUGCUGGGGGGCUCAGUUGCGGCGCUGAGGGGCUCGAUUGCGGCGCUGAGCGAAUGGGGCUAGGGUUAGGGUUUCCAAUAAUUUCCAAUAGAUUGGCCCUAUCGGGCUCUAUUUUUGGUCUAGGUUAAUAUUAGUUUUGGGCUAUGGGUCAUGUAUUCAUUUUGGGUUUUGGAUUGUAAAAAAAAAGGACUUUUAAUUAAUGGGCUUUUGGACUUUUAUUAAUUAUUGGUUUUUGGUCUGUUUGUAACGGGCCGGGCAAAUUGGCCUGUUUACAAAUAUAAAAUAUUUUUAAGAAAACAA